UCUGAAUGCCGGCAGAGGACAUCAGGCACCCAGAAAAGCAGCCCAACUCUUCGAAAGGAGCAUAAAUGAGACUUCCAAAGAGAACUAAGCUAUCAGACCUGCUAAAUGCUUCUAAAAACGAAACAAAAACAUUAAUUUGUAAGAAUGAAACAGAAAAUAAAGCAACUUUACCAGAUUCAA